rnacentral:rRNA from 1 species
AAGACCUUGCGCUUUUGGAGCGGCCGAUGUCUGAUUAGCUUGUUGGUAAGGUAAAAGCUUACCAAGGCUUCGAUCAGUAGCUGGUCUGAGAGGACGACCAGCCACACUGGGACUGAGACACGGCCCAGACUCCUACGGGAGGCAGCAGUGGGGAAUUUUGGACAAUGGGGGCAACCCUGAUCCAGCCAUGCCGCGUGAGUGAAGAAGGCCUUCGGGUUGUAAAGCUCUUUCAGCCAGAACGAAACGGUUACGGUUAAUACCCGUGACUACUGACGGUACCGGAAGAAGAAGCACCGGCUAACUACGUGCCAGCAGCCGCGGUAAUACGUAGGGUGCAAGCGUUAAUCGGAAUUACUGGGCGUAAAGCGUGCGCAGGUGGUUUUGUAAGUCAGAUGUGAAAUCCCCGGGCUUAACCUGGGAACU